rnacentral:tRNA from 1 species
CAAGAUGUAGCUUAGUUAAAGCGUCUCCCUUACUCUGAGGAAAAAUCUGUUGAACCCAGAUCAUCUUGA